rfam:Brassica napus, WGS project CCCW01000000 data, contig: 15259
UCAUGCCUGGCUCCCUGUAUGCCACAAGUAGAUAUUGAUUUUGGUUGAAAAAAUCAGCUGCCAGUGGCGUACAAGGAGUCAAGCAUGA